UUUUAUUCCCUUGAAGACUUAGGAAAGAUUUUGUCCUUCAUCGCAAUGAUUGGUCAGCCUCAAGAAGCAUGCAGGAGCCAUCUUAAUAGUCACAAGGCUCUAGACCAAGAUAGAACAGCCCUUCAGAAAGUGAAGAAGUCUGUAAAAGCAAUAUAUAAUUCUGGUCAAGAUCAUGUACAAAAUGAAGAAAACUAUGCACAAGUUCUUGAUAAGUUUGGGAGUAAUUUUUUAAGUCGAGACAACCCCGACCUUGGCACCGCGUUUGUCAAGUUUUCUACUCUUACAAAGGAACUGUCCACACUGCUGAAAAAUCUGCUCCAGGGUCUGAGCCACAAUGUGAUCUUCACCUUGGAUUCUUUGUUAAAAGGAGACCUAAAGGGAGUCAAAGGAGAUCUCAAGAAGCCAUUUGACAAAGCCUGGAAAGAUUAUGAGACAAAGUUUACAAAAAUUGAGAAAGAGAAAAGAGAGCACGCAAAACAACAUGGGAUGAUCCGCACAGAGAUAACAGGAGCUGAGAUUGCAGAAGAAAUGGAGAAGGAAAGGCGCCUCUUUCAGCUCCAAAUGUGUGAAUAUCUCAUUAAAGUUAAUGAAAUCAAGACCAAAAAGGGUGUGGAUCUGCUGCAGAAUCUUAUAAAGUAUUACCAUGCACAGUGCAAUUUCUUUCAAGAUGGCUUGAAAACGGCUGAUAAGUUGAAACAGUACAUUGAAAAACUGGCUGCUGAUUUAUAUAAUAUAAAACAGACCCAGGAUGAAGAAAAGAAACAGCUAACUGCACUCCGAGACUUAAUAAAAUCCUCUCUUCAACUUGAUCAGAAAGAAGAUUCUCAGAGCCGGCAAGGAGGAUACAGCAUGCAUCAGCUCCAGGGCAAUAAGGAAUAUGGCAGUGAAAAGAAGGGGUACCUGCUAAAGAAAAGUGAUGGGAUCCGGAAAGUAUGGCAGAGGAGGAAGUGUUCUGUCAAGAA
rnacentral:sRNA from 1 species